rnacentral:lncRNA from 1 species
GAAAGAUUGCCUCUGGCUGUUGUGUGCAUUUGUGAUUGAAACCCCCAGUAUAUCCUGUUUCUAACACCCUCUCUACACAUUCUGUGGUAGCAGCCCAUCCUCUGUCUUACUUUCUGUUCUCUAACUGAUUUCUUUUAUAAUACCACACAUAAACGAACGUUAGAUGAUUCAAGAAAAUGAGAAUCCAACUGAUCGAAGAUGCUAAUGGUUCAGCUCAGAUAUGUGGUCAUCCUCUCUUCCUUCAUCAUUGACUGGUUCAUUUGUGAAGAAUAAAUUGUGAGUAAAGAACUCUUAUGGAACACAAAUUACCUAAACGAUUAUAGUUACUGGUAUCAUUUUCUUUUUAAUUUUAUUUUUAUUUUUGAGGCAGGGUCUCCCUCUGUCAUCCAGGCUGGAGUGCAAUGGUACAAUCACAACUCACUGCAGACUCGAUCUCCUGGGCUCAAGUGAUCCUCCCGCCUCAGCCUCCCAAGUAGCUAGAACUGCAGGCAUGCACCACCAUGCUCUGCUAAUUUUAAUUUUGUGUAGAGUUGAGGUCUCACUAUGUUGUCCAGGUUGGUCUCGAGCUCCUGACCUCAGGUGAUCCACCUACCUUGGCCUUCCAAAGUGCUGGGAUUAUAGGCAUGAGCCACUGUGCCUGGCCAAUUUUUAAUUUUUUAAAUUGACAAAUAAAAAUUGGUUUAUUUGUGGUGUACAACAUGAUGUUUUGAACUAUGUAUACAUUGUGG